AGCUAUCUCCUGACAGCAGCCAAGAUGACCAUUGGUCCUUCCAGAGGAAGAAGAGAGCUGGUACCAUGGCUCUAGUAAAACUCGGAAUGGAAAAUGCUUCUUCUCUUGAGAACAGCUUGCUCAUCUUCAGUUGAUCAAAUGGAAUAUAUGACAUUGCCUUAUGGAUACAUGAAACCUGUGAGUAGUCCUAGCUCCACAGUCUCUGUCAUUGUGGUCUACAUUUCCUACCAUUAAGCCACUAGCACCUGUUUGCUGUUGCUUUUCACUCAGCCAAAACAUGCCACAGAAGUUCUUUCAAUUUGGGGUUUCUUUCCAUCCAAACCUCCAGUACCCACCCAUGCA